UGAUGUGAGGACGGUCAGGCUGUGACGCCUGUCACCCCACUGGUCACCAGGGUUGAUUCGGCUGAUGUGGCUGGCUCAAAGGCAGGUGUCCCCUCCUUCCCCACCAUUCCCUGUGCGUCCCUCUGAAGCUGUGUGCUCCGUCAAAGAGGAUGGAGGAUCGGGCUUCGAGUAGCUGUGCUCCUCUGCCAGGACCUCCAAACAAGCUCUCAGGAAAGAAUGGGGUCUCAGUCCUAUUGCAGGUCUGUACACAUGGAUGUGUGUGCCUCACACGGCCGCACCUU
ensembl:misc_RNA 7SK 7SK RNA